AUGCAGCGGUCCCGUAGCAUGCCCUGUCAUCCCCACCUUGUGCUCAUGGCCUGGAGGGUGCAAAGCAGGUUCUGGGUGCUGGCAAGUAGCAUGGGGCAAGCACAGGGGACCGCUACUCGCUGCUGCCGCCUGCUCUUCCUUCUCUUUGUUCUCCUCCUCUUGGUGGCCCCAUGUCCCGGGGAGACCUUGAAUAUCCCACGGUUAGGACUGCACCCAGGUUCUCCCCUGAAGACUGGUUCUGAGCCUUGGGGGAAUCCCAGGGCUCUGCCUACAGGCCACCCAUCUCGGCGGUACAGUUUUCUUAAGCAUCCAGGCUUUUCCAGGGAUUUGUCCAGCAAUGUUGGCUCUGCAUCUUCUCUACAGGAUAGGGGUAUGGAGGAAGGGAGAAACUGCAUGGGGGCUGGUGGUGAAAAAAAUGCAGAGGCUUUGGAUCACAAAUGGAUGCCAGAGCACACUGCAGUUGUGGUGCUGGCCAUCCUUGUGUGUCUGUUCCUUCUGGCAGCUUUGGGCUACUCAGUGAAAUUGUUGCUGAAGAGGAGACAACGAGAACCACUGCUGGGUGAAUCUUACUUUCCUUUGCGGAGUAAAGAUCCAGACGAUGUGGAAAAAGAAAGAAAAAUGGAGGAAAUUGCUAAAGAGAUCGAAAGUCUGCCUGAGGGACCAUGCACAUUACUAAGACCUCCACCAAAUGCCCUGCAUGAGAAUUAA
rnacentral:lncRNA from 1 species